CAGGAAAUAGUUUAUAAAAAAUACUAGUUUUGGGGAUUAGAGAUAGGGAGUAACUCUCUUUUCCUGA
rnacentral:tRNA from 2 species